rnacentral:rRNA from 1 species
CAGUAGCCGCGGUAAUACGUAGGUGGCAAGCGUUGUCCGGAUUUACUGGGCGUAAAGCGAACGCAGGCGGACUGUUAAGUAGGAAGUGAAAGGUCGGAGCUCAACUCCAACAUUGCUUCCUAUACUGGCAGUCUUGAGUAGCGGAGAGGAAGGGGGAACGACACGUGUAGCGGUGAAAUGCGUUGAUAUGUGUCGGAACACCCAUGGCGAAAGCACCCUUCUGGACGCAAACUGACGCUCAGGUUCGAAAGCCAAGGUAGCGAACAGGAUUAGAUACCCGCGUAGUCCCUGUCUCUUAUAC